GGGGAAUUUUGGACAAUGGGCGCAAGCCUGAUCCAGCAAUGCCGCGUGCAGGAUGAAGGCCUUCGGGUUGUAGACUGCAUUUGUACGGAACGAAAAGCCUCUCUCUAAUACAGGGGGGUGAUGACGGUACCGUAAGAAUAAGCACCGGCUAACUACGUGCCAGCAGCCGCGGUAAUACGUAGGGUGCAAGCGUUAAUCGGAAUUACUGGGCGUAAAGCGUGCGCAGGCGGUUUUGUAAGACAGUGGUGAAAUCCCCGGGCUCAACCUGGGAACUGCCAUUGGGACUGCAAGGCGGAAGUGCGGCAGAGGGGGAUGGAAUUCCGCGUGUAGCAGUGAAAUGCGUAGAGAUCGGGAGGAACAUCAGUGGCGAAGGCGACUGCCUGGGCCAACACUGACACUGAGGCACGAAAGCGUGGUGAGCAAACA
rnacentral:rRNA from 1 species